rnacentral:lncRNA from 1 species
AGCGUUGCUCUUGGAUAAGUAUCAAUAACCUCAGAACUAUGGAAAGAACCAUGUGUGGAGUUUGGCACCACAGAUAUUCUCUGAGUGAUUGAAGUCUCUUCUACCAUGAGGCCUUGAAAGCUCCAUGAUAGAGAUGACAGAGCUAUAAGAUGAAAGCAGCCCAAAUCCCUGAGUCACCAAUGUUUGAAGAAGAGCUUCCCAGGAGAGGUACCAGACCCACAUGAGACUUCACAUGAUUAUAAAAUGAACUUCUAUUGUGUUGAAUCUCUGAACUUCAGGGUUGUUUUGCAGCACAGACUACAUUAUAGUGACAAGUAGAGGAAGGUACAGUAAAAGCCUUGCCAUCACUCCCAUUAUACAGAGGAAGAAACUGAGACCUAGAGAAGUUCAGAACCUUGCUACAUCAAUCAGAAGUACAAGCCAAGGCUCAUGAAGUGGUUUCCUUAUUUUCUCACCCCAAGGAUCACCUCCGAAGGAAAUGACUUACACCCAAAUCAGGAUCUGUUUUUGAGGGAACCCAACAUAACACAUGGAGAGAUGGGUUUCCUAUGAAGAAGGAAAUAUGGGCUGUAAAAUACCACGGAGAGUCAGACCACCCCAUUCCUUUUUGAAUUGUCCAUGGCUGCUUUCCUGCUACAACAGAAGUUGAGUUAUUGCAACAGAGGUCGUCUGGGCCACAAGAUCUAAAGUAUUUACUCUGGCCCUUGAUGGAAGAAACUUGUC